UACGAAGGGGGCUAGCGUUGCUCGGAUUUACUGGGCGUAAAGGGCGCGUAGGCGGAUGUUUAAGUCGGGGGUGAAAGCCCAGGGCUCAACCCUGGAACUGCCUUCGAUACUGGACAUCUUGAGUACGGGAGAGGUGAGUGGAACUCCGAGUGUAGAGGUGAAAUUCGUAGAUAUUCGGAAGAACACCAGUGGCGAAGGCGACUCACUGGCCCGUUACUGACGCUGAGGCGCGAAAGCUAGGGGAGCAAACGGG
rnacentral:rRNA from 1 species